rnacentral:rRNA from 1 species
AAUCAACGCUGGCGGCGUGCCUAACACAUGCAAGUCGAACGCGAAAACCCCGCAAGGGGUUAGUAGAGUGGCAAACGGGUGAGUAACACGUGGGUGACCUGCCUUAGAGUGGGGGAUAACGUCCCGAAAGGGACGCUAAUACCGCAUAACAUCCUGCCUUUGAAGAGGCGGUGAUCAAAGCUGGGGACCGCAAGGCCUAGCGCUUAAAGAGGGGCCCGCGCCUGAUUAGCUAGUUGGUGGGGUAAUGGCUCACCAAGGCAACGAUCAGUAUCCGGCCUGAGAGGGCGGACGGACACACUGGGACUGAGACACGGCCCAGACUCCUACGGGAGGCAGCAGUGGGGAAUUGUUCGCAAUGGGCGCAAGCCUGACGACGCAACGCCGCGUGGAGGAUGAAGACC